UCCCCUGAGGCAAAGUGUGUCCUCUGCGACUGACCGACAGGACACAGCGUUGGAGUAACAUACAUGUUUCAUUUUUAAUGAUAUUUGGUAGAACAUCAAAAGCGGCUGUUUUGACGUGACCCUGCAUUAAAACAAAGAAGCCACGAGGGGAGGAGGCAGAAGGCCAUGGCUGGAGGGAGGGAUCAUGAAGUGAAGAACAAGAGAAAAGCAGUGAGAUGCUUCUGAGAGAAAGACAGAGGAAGAGGGAGAGGAUAAGAAGACGAUCAACCGUUUCUUUCUGUCCCUGUAAUCUAACUGUGAGAAGAGAGAAAAGCAAAAGGUUCACCACACACAGGACAGGACGUGCUUUGUCGCUGGGGACCGCCACAUUUAUUUACUCAUCCAACAAGCAUUUCCUGAAUGCCUACCAUGCCUCAGGCCCAGAGCAAGCCCAGCUGCCAGGAGCUGGGGGCUGCUGCAGGAAGGCUGGCCUGAACAAGAGAGCCUGGACAACACAUCAGACGGGGACCAACAGGGUGACCAGAGGCAGGACAGGGGAUGGCUCUGGGGAACCUCUGGGCAGCAUGGAGAUAAGGCCUCCGUGCUGCGAGACGUCCAGCCUGUGACCUUCCAGAGAAUCCAUGCUCCAAGCCCAGGGACAAGCAAGCACAAAGGCCUGAGGCCAGGAAAGAGCUGCCGGGGUUGGAGGCGCCUGAGGAAACCAAUACGGUGGACACGAGAAGAGCCAGGAGAUGAGGCUGGAGGAGCCACAGGCCUGGCUUUUCAUUUGAAAGUUGAAUCCACCUUUUUUCAAAAGCGGGCUCCAGGGGUGCAGUUAGCACAGUAUCAACCACCUGCACAUCAGCCACGCCGUAGGCUCUGGGUCUGCAACAAGACCACGGAUGAGAGCUUCAAGGGAUCCUUUCCUGGCCUUGACCACAGCACUUCCAGCACAUUCUGCAGGGCCCAUUUCUUUGUCCUCUGAAGACUUUCUCCCCUGGUCUUGCAGAACACCUGGGUCGCAUUUCCUCCUCCUGUGUGCCCCGCACAUCCUCAGGAGUUCACUCAUCACCUGUUACUUUUGGAGGGAGGGGCAGGGUUCCACCUGAGCCUUCUUUUCUCUGUUUUGGAGACGUGCACACUUGCCAAUGACUGCUCUUCUUCUGUGUGGAGCUUUAGCUUUGUGAAUAUAAAUACCCACUAAAAUUCUCUACCUAGAAAUCCCACCAGCAUCUUUCACGCAGCAGCCCAGAGCAGAACCCAUUCUCCCUGCAUGGAAUCAUCUGACGUCGAGCACAGCAUCAUGGUGGCCUCUUCAUCUGGCUCUGAUGGUGAACCAGUCACCCUCAGGCCUGCCCCACGCCCCCACCUCCAGUGAAACUCCGAGCUUCCUCUUAAAUGCCUCUAUAAUCUGCACUUCUUCCAAGACUCUACCAGGCAGUGCCCAGCACAGACUAACGGAUGUCUGGGCCUGAUUGUGUUUGGCGAAAGGAUGGACAUGACUAAGGUCAGCCCAGGCUGCAUCACGCUCCGCUCUGUGCACAACGGGGUCACACUGUCUUGCUCUUCCAGAGUCCAUGGCCCAGUGACUCAUUCCGGACCCCUGUGGACUUGUGCCCUGACAAUGCCACUUUCAGAACAGGCUGGAACAAGUUUCCUAAUGUGCUGAAACUCCACAGAGGCUCUGAAUUCAUCCUAAGUGCUGCACAAUCAGAAAAUAGCAAGUGUUUUGUCUGCAUUCAUAUAAAUUCCUAUCAA